rnacentral:rRNA from 1 species
CUGCUGCCUCCCGUAGGAGUUUGGGCCGUGUCUCAGUCCCAAUGUGGCCGGUCACCCUCUCAGGUCGGCUACUGAUCGUCGCUUUGGUGGGCCGUUACCCCGCCAACUGGCUAAUCAGACGCGAGCUCAUCUUUGGACGAUAAAUCUUUGGCAGCAAAAUCAUGCGGUCCUGCUGCAUUAUGCGGUAUUAGCAGUCGUUUCCGGCUGUUAUCCCCCAUCCAAAGGCAGAUUGCUCACGCGUUA